UGUUGUUGAGAUAUUCGUGCUUCGCAGUUCUCUUUUUCUUGGUCUAUUUGAGAGAGGGAUAUUUAUGGUCUGGGAUAUUUAUGGUCUGGGGAUUUAUGGUCUCUUAUCUGUACAAUAGUAAUCAUCUAACCGACAACCGAUAUUUGGGAAAUGUGCAAUUCUUGCUCCGUGGACAAAAAUGCUUACACCAUUUCGGCUAUAAAAA